AUAAAUAUUUCAACAAAUUACAUAAUAUUUUAAUGCCUAUCUUGAUCGAUUUGAGAAUUGUGAUUUUUCGACUUUUAAAUUUCAGUUAUAAUCUUCAAUCAAUUUAAGUCUUCAUCGGAGCAUCGUACGUCUCGGGUGGAACACACAAAACUUCCUACACCCGCAUCAAGACGUCUGACAACCGUACAACCAUGAACCGGCCUAUUUGGACAUUGCCUUUAAGCAAGCACACAAUAAAUAAACUAGAUAAACUCGGAUACAAGUGUUGUGAAGAUUUGAUCGAUUCACUCGACGAUCCUGAAAAAAAAUCAACGUUUUUACGAAAACAUAUGGAAUCAGAAUCUGAAAUCCGUGAUAUGCUAAAAACUCCCAUAUACAAAACUGCUGCAGAAUUAGAUAUUGGACGCGAUAGUAUUGCUACGUUUUGCAAGUCUAUUGAUGAACUUUUAAACGGGGGUAUUCAAGUUGGACAGAUAACAGAAUUAUCUGGAGCUCCAGGCUCGGGCAAAAGUCAAUUAAGCAUGCAACUCUGCGUAUCCGUUCAAAUACCGGUAUGUUUUGAAGGACUACAAGCCGAAGCAAUUUAUGUCGAUACAAAUUCAAAUUUUUCCGAACUUCGGUUAACGGAAAUGAUCGACGCUUUCCUCGGCCAUGUGUCUAAAGUAUUAUCGGGACCCAUUGAUUUCAAAGGAGAAGCCAAUAGCGAGUUGCUAAAGAGUCUGACCACCGCUAGCAUGCUGAGUAAAAUACACAGGGUUCAAAUGAAUGACCUAAACCAGCUGUACGCUUUGUAUACGACUCUCGAACGUCAUCCGAACGUGAAAUUAAUCGUGGUGGACAGUUUCGUCAUGCCGCUGUACCAAGUGGAAAAUUCGCUGAGAAAGAAUACGCUAGUCCACAGCUCACUCGGUUUAUUGCAAACCAUAGCUCGCGAACACGAUCUCGCUGUGGUACUAACUAACGAUCUAACAACCGCAAUUACCGAAAACGGCGCAGAAGUUUUUCCGGCGUUAGGUGAAUCGUUUGGUCAUCGCGUUCAAUAUAGACUUCUGCUAAGCAAAAUUCCUAACCAACCCAACGAGUACACGGCGUUGCUGAAGAAAAGCGUCGAGCACGGUCGUUCUGCUGCUCGAUUUACUAUUUCAUCGAAUGGAGUGCGUGAUCUACCUACGGAACAGCCGCAGCUGUAGACGAAGAAAUGAUCAGAAAUUAAAACAAAAAGCGUUGUUCCAUAUACUUGUAUUAUAGUGUACCUAUACGCUUUAGGUAUACUUGCAUGGUUUAACGACCCAGAAUGUUAAAAAGAUACUUUCAGAACGGCUUAACAGCGUAGUUCGCUGACAUACGUACUCGCACACACACACAUAUAUUAUAAUAUUAUACAAUGGUGUUACCCGGCACCUAUUAUUAUUUAUGGUGCACACCAUUCACAUGUCUCGGAAAAAGGUUUCGCGGCAGGACGGAUCGGUGGUGACGAGGCAAGCAGCAAGCGCGUACGUCAUCGUUCGACGAACUUUUCGCAUUGGUACACGCAUGCAUGAACCUGUAUGUAUAAUGUAUGAAGUGAUUUAUUUUAUAUUUAACUGAUUUUGGAAGUCAAGUCAUUUUUAAAAUAAUUAUUUUCUAUACUCACAUUUAAGAAUUAUACUUUUCUUAGGAUUUCAAUAUAAUUAUUAUAUUAUUUUUAUACAUUA